UACGUAGGGACCAAGCGUUGUUCGGAUUUACUGGGCGUAAAGGGCGCGUAGGCGGCAAUUCAAGUCAUCUGUGAAAUCUCCGAGCUUAACUCGGAACGGUCAGAUGAUACUGCUUUGCUAGAGUGCAGAAGGGGCAACCGGAAUUCUUGGUGUAGCGGUGAAAUGCGUAGAUAUCAAGAGGAACACCGGAGGUGAAGACGGGUUGCUGGGCUGACACGUGACGCUGAGGCGCGAAAGCUAGGGUAGCAAACGGG
rnacentral:rRNA from 1 species